rnacentral:ncRNA from 1 species
GGUGGAUACUUUGACUCAUGAGAGAGAAGCUGAGGCGAAGGCGUCUACCUAGAGGGUUUCUGUCGAUCAAGGGCGAGAGUAGGAGUAUCCAACAGGAUUAGAGACCCUGGUAGUUCCUACCUUAAACGAUGCCGACAGGAGUUUGUCAUUUGUUAAUGGCAGAAUCUUUGGAGAAAUCAUAGUUCUUGGGCUCUGGGGGAACUACGACCGCAAGGCUGAAACUUGAAGGAAUUGACGGAAGGGCACACCAGGGGUGGAGCCUGUGGCUUAAUUUGAAUCAACACGGGGAAACUUACCAGGACCAGAUGUUUUUUAUGACUGACAGGCUUCGGGUCUUUCAGGAUAUUGUUUUUGGUGGUGCAUGGCCGUUGGUGGUGCGUGGGUUGACCUGUCUAGCGUUGAUUCAGCUAACGAGCGAGAUUAUCGCCAAUUAUUUACUUUGCCGAAGUCCUUCGGUUAAAGUUCUAAUUGGGACUCCCUGCGAUUUUAGCAGGUGGAAGAGGGUAGCAAUAACAGGUCCGUGAUGCCCUUUAGAUGCUCUGGGCUGCACGCGUGCUACAAUGUUAGGAUCAAUAGGACUGCGAGCCUGAGAGGGUGCGCUACUCUUAUAAUCCCUAACGUAGUUGGGAUUGACGUUUGUAAUCAGCGUCAUGAACCAGGAAUCCCUUGUAAAUGUGUGUCAACAACGCACGUUGAAUACGUCCCUGCCCUUUGUACACACCGCCCGUCGCUCCUACCGAUUGGAUGACUCGGUGAAAUCACCGGAUGCUUACGAGCAGAAAGUGAUUAAAUCACGUUAUCUAGAGGAAGGAGAAGUCGUAACAAGGUAACGGUAGGUGAACCUGCCGUUGGAUCAGUU